GGCCUGAUGGUCUAGUAGUAUGAUUCUCCCUUCGGGUUUGAAAGCCCUCCACGGUCCUUGGAGAUUUGGGAGAGGUCCGGGGUUCAAUUCCCCGUCAGGCCC
rnacentral:tRNA from 1 species